UGUGUCACUAUUUUCUAGUACUCCUACUUUGUGUCUGCACUUAAUUAGUUUAAAGACACACCUUUUAUUUUCUACCCGUUUCAUAUGAUAUGCCUAUUUUUUGUCGGAAAUAGAAGCUUUUAUAGAUCUCGGACUUAGUUGACUAAUCGUUUUAAUUAGUGGUAAAUUUUGAAACACGCGCCUGACUUUAUAAUAAUGAGCUUUUUAAUGAACACAUCAUGUGCUUUUAAUGUUCUAAAAAUGAGCUUUUUUAUGAUGCCAUGAUGAAUUUUUUUUUGCGAACAAGUCUCCUAAAUUUCCUUGUUUUCUGAAAAUCCAUGAGCUUUUAGCAUUCUAGAGAUCAGCUUUUAAGGAUCCCAUGACAAGCUUUUAACGAACGCAUCCUGUGCUUUUACAUUUUACAAAUCCUUGAGACAUGCUUUUCAGUUAUUUUUUGUAAGUUCUUUAUGAGCUUAGACGAUCUCCUCAUGAUCUUUUAACAAUGAGCUUUUAUUUUCCCCAAAAUCCAUUGUGCAUUUGAACUUUCUAAUGAUAAACUUUUUAACGACCACAUGACGAACUUUUAAUGUUCUAAUGAUGAGCUUUUUUAUGAUCCCACGAUGAGUUUUUAACGAACAAUUUCAUUUUUUUUUUGAAAAUCCUUAAGCUUUUAACAAUCUUAUGAUGAGCUUUCAACAUUCUAACGAUGAGCUUUUAAGGAUCCCAUGAAGAGCUUUUAACGAACUCAUCAUAUCAUGUGCUUUUAAUUUUCAAAAUCCUUAGCAAUUAUUUUUGCUAACUUCAUGAUGAGCUUUUUACAAAUAGCAUAAUGAGCUUUUAACGAUAUCAUCAUGACUUUUAACGAUUUUCAUCAUGAUCUUUUAACUUUUCCAAAAACCAUUGAGCUUUUAAACUUUCUAAUGAUGAACUUCUAAUGUUCUAGUGAUGAGCUUUUUCAUGAUGAUACAAGAGUUUUUAACGAACAAGUUUUGUACAUUUCAUAUUUUUUUUUUUCAAAAUCCUUGAGCUUUUAACGAUCUUACCAUGAGCUUUUAAGGAUCUCAUGAAGGGCUUUUAACGAACUCAUCAUGUGCUUUUAAUUUUCAAAACUCCUUAGACGUGUUUUCAAUUAUUUUGCUAACUCUAUGAUGAGCUUUUUACAGAUAGCAUCAUGAGCUUCUAAUGAUCUCAUCAUGACUUUUAACGAUUUUCAUCAUGACCUUUUAACUUUUCCAAAAAACCAUUGAGAUUUUAAAUGUUCUAAUGCUGAGCUUUUCAACGACCCCUUGAUGAGCUUUUAAUGUUCUAGUGAUGAGCUUUUUAUGAUCUCAGAAAGAGUUUUUAAUUAACAAGUCUUGUCAUUUUUUUUUUCAAAAAUCCUUGAGCUUUUAACGAUCUUAAGAUGAGAUUUUAGCAUUCUAAUGAUGAGCCUUUUUAUGGAUCCCAUGAUUAGCUUUCUAACAAACAUUGUACUUUUAAGUUUAAAAAUCCUUGAGACAUGCUUUCAAUUAUUUUUCUAAGUUCAUAAUGAGCUUUUGAUGAUCUCAGCACGAGCUUUAAUGAUCUUAUCUAUUCUAUAUCUUUUUUAAUGAACAAGUGUUGUACAUUUCAAGGAACAAAAAUAAAAAAUCCUUGAGGUGUGGUUUCGAUUUUUUAUCUAGGUCCAUUUUUCGCGAGCUUCUCAUAUAACUUAAAUUUUGGGUGCUCUAUGUCAUGAUUAUGAAAGCUUGAAUAAUCCAUAAUCUACAUCAUAACAACCAGAUCUAGUAAAAUUUGUAAGGUUAUGUCAAGACUUUAAAAGUUUGAAUAUUUGUCAGGAAAGGCAUCAAAUUCUGACAUAAAAAACUUCUUAUGUGAUUUCUAAAAUCUCGAUAUGAUUUGAAAGCGUCUAGUCUUUUUGAUUGAAAGUGAUAUUCCCCACCCGUUUAAUUCCCUGAAAUCGCGGAUGACGCGGAGUCUGGUCGGAAUCAUCCGCCAGAUCACGAACUGGCGGAGCUCCGCUGAUUAGCACCCCCCGCCUUUGUAUCCUAUUCAAGCGGUACGUAGCUCUCCAGAAUUACGGCUACGAGUCUACGACGACAGCACGAACAUCACGUUAUACAUGCAGAAAGAAAAUGACAUUAAUUGUGGUGCC
rnacentral:lncRNA from 1 species